rnacentral:tRNA from 1 species
GGUCUCGUAGCUCAGCUGGUAGAGUAUGCUCUGCACAAAAGCGUCCAUGCGUGGGUUCGAAUCCCACCGAGGCUA